ACGGCUCAGUAACACGUGGGAAUCUACCCCCAUCUGGAGGAUAACUCACCGAAAGGUGAGAUAAUACUCCAUAAUCUCCACCUCUGGUGGUGUAAAGAGAUUUACUUCUUGGAUAGGGAUGAGCCUGCGGCUUAUCAGGUAGUUGGUAGGGUAAUGGCCUACCAAGCCUAUUACGAGUAGCUGGCCUGAGAGGGUGGUCAGCCAGAGGGGCACUGAGAUACGGGCCCCACUCCUACGGGAGGCAGCAAUCAGGAAUAGUCGGCAAUGGGCGAAAGCCUGACCGCGCGACGCCGCGUGUAGGAAGAAGUUCUUCGGAGCGUAAACUACUGUGGUAAGGGAAGAAGUCCCGCCUUUGGCGGGAUUGACGGUACCUUACUAGAAAGGGGCCGCUAACUGCGUGCCAGAAGCGUCGGUAAUACGUGGGCCCCAAACAUUAUCCGGUUUUAUUGGGUGUAAAAGGUCGUGUAGGCGUCCUGAUAAGUUUUUGUUUAAAGUCCAAAGCUUAACUUUGGAGAUGGCGAAAAUACUAUCAGGAUAGAGUUUUCUUUAGGGAGACUGGAACUUAGAGAGGAGUAGUGAAAUGCGUUGAUACUCUAGGGAACACUAGUGGCGAAGGCGAGUCUCUGGAAGAAAACUGACGCUGAGACACGAAAGCUAGGGGAGCGAAGCAGAUUAGAGACCUGCGUAGUCCUAGCCCUAAACGAAUGCUUGCUAGCUGCAUUUUCCUUUCGAUUUAUCGAACGGACGAGUGUGGCGAAGGUAACCCGUUAAGCAAGCCACCUGGGGAGUACGGCCGCAAGGUUGAAACUCAAAGGAAUUGGCGGGGGAGCAC
rnacentral:rRNA from 1 species